UAUNGCACAAUGGGGGAAACCCUGAUGCGGCNACGCCGCGUGAGCGAAGAAGUAUUUCGGGAUGUAAAGCUCUAUCAGCAGGGCAGAAGAUUACGGUACCUGACUAAGAAGCUCCGGCUAAAUACGUGCCAGCAGCCGCGGUAAUACGUAUGGAGCAAGCGUUAUCCGGAUUUACUGGGUGUAAAUGGAGCGUAGGCGGCCUGGCAAGUCUGGUGUGAAAUACCGGGGCCCAACCCCGGGACUGCAUUGGAAACUGCCAGGCUGGAGUGUCGGAGGGGCAGGCGGAAUUCCUAGUGUAGCGGUGAAAUGCGUAGAUAUUAGGAGGAACACCGGUGGCGAAGGCGGCCUGCUGGACGACAACUGACGCUGAGGCUCGAAAGCGUGGGGAGCAAACAGG
rnacentral:rRNA from 1 species